ACGACUGCUAAGACUGGAUAGGAGACAAGAAGGCAUCUUCUUGUUUUUAAAAGACCUAGCAAUAGGUAUGCUUAGGGAGGAGCUUGCGUCACAUUAGUUAGUUGGUGGGGUAAAGGCCUACCAAGACUAUGAUGUGUAGCCGGGCUGAGAGGUUGAACGGCCACAUUGGGACUGAGACACGGCCCAAACUCCUACGGGAGGCAGCAGUAGGGAAUUUUCGGCAAUGGAGGAAACUCUGACCGAGCAACGCCGCGUGAACGAUGAAGUAUUUCGGUACGUAAAGUUCUUUUAUUAGGGAAGAAUAAAUGAUGGAAAAAUCAUUCUGACGGUACCUAAUGAAUAAGCCCCGGCUAACUAUGUGCCAGCAGCCGCGGUAAUACAUAGGGGGCAAGCGUUAUCCGGAAUUAUUGGGCGUAAAGGGUGCGUAGGCGGUUAAAUAAGUUUAUGGUCUAAGUGCAAUGCUCAACAUUGUGAUGCUAUAAAAACUGUUUAGCUAGAGUAAGAUAGAGGCAAGUGGAAUUCCAUGUGUAGUGGUAAAAUGCGUAAAUAUAUGGAGGAACACCAGUAGCGAAGGCGGCUUGCUGGGUCUUUACUGACGCUGAGGCACGAAAGCGUGGGGAGCAAACAGGAUUAGAUACCCUGGUAGUCCACGCCGUAAACGAUGAGUACUAAACGUUGGGUAAAACCAGUGUUGAAGUUAACACAUUAAGUACUCCGCCUGAGUAGUACGUACGCAAGUAUGAAACUUAAAGGAAUUGACGGGACUCCGCACAAGCGGUGGAUCAUGUUGUUUAAUUCGAAGGUACCCGAAAAACCUCACCAGGUCUUGACAUGCUUCUGCAAAGCUGUAGAGACACAGUGGAGGUUAUCAGUUGCACAGGUGGUGCAUGGUUGUCGUCAGCUCGUGUCGUGAGAUGUUGGGUUAAGUCCCGCAACGAGCGCAACCCUUAUUGUUAGUUACCAGCACGUAAUGGUGGGGACUUUAGCAAGACUGCCAGUGAUAAAUUGGAGGAAGGUGGGGACGACGUCAAAUCAUCAUGCCCCUUAUGACCUGGGCUACAAACGUGAUACAAUGGCUGUUACAAAGGGUAGCUGAAGCGCAAGUUUUUGGCGAAUCUCAAAAAAACAGUCUCAGUUCGGAUUGAAGUCUGCAACUCGACUUCAUGAAGUUGGAAUCGCUAGUAAUCGCGAAUCAGCAUGUCGCGGUGAAUACGUUCUCGGGGUUUGUACACACCGCCCGUCA
rnacentral:rRNA from 1 species